ACGGAAGGCAGCAGUGGGGAAUAUUGCACAAUGGGGGAAACCCUGAUGCAGCAACGCCGCGUGAAGGAAGACGGUCUUCGGAUUGUAAACUUCUGUUCUUAGUGAAGAUAAUGACGGUAGCUAAGGAGCAGGCCACGGCUAACUACGUGCCAGCAGCCGCGGUAAUACGUAGGUGGCAAGCGUUGUCCGGAAUUACUGGGUGUAAAGGGAGCGCAGGCGGGAAAUCAAGUUGGAUGUGAAAUGUCGGGGCUUAACCCCGGAACUGCAUCCAAAACUGAUUUUCUUGAGUGGAGUAGAGGUAGGCGGAAUUCCGAGUGUAGCGGUGAAAUGCGUAGAUAUUCGGAGGAACACCAGUGGCGAAGGCGGCCUACUGGGCUUUAACUGACGCUGAGGCUCGAAAGUGUGGGGAGCAAACAGGAUUAGAUACCCUGGUA
rnacentral:rRNA from 1 species